AAAAAAAAAAAAGUGGGCAAGACAUUGAAACGUGAAUUGUCAGAAUAGAGCAAUCGACGUAUUUAAAAAAAUAGCACCGCCAGAGAUAAAACGUCGAUGUACCAAAGCACGCAUGAAAGUUCAAAAAAACAAACUUGUGCCUAUAACCUAACACGCUAGAAAAAUAUCCGCCAUUGCAGUUUUUGAAAAGCAUCGAAACGUUAACUGUCAUAACCUCAACCAUACAAACAUCAAUUUCUCAGAGAUAUACCUGGACACGAGGAAGAAAGAAUACGUCAUUUGUGCCUAUAACGAAAUACGAAAACGAUUUUUCAACUUGCAACGUAGCACACGUUGUACGCCAACGAUGGAACUGUGGUCUGACGUGAUUUCUUGUGACUCGAGGAAUUUCUUGUUAUGUCUAAAACCGCUAUACGCGUAUGUCAUAUGGCGAGACGAGACGCCGGGCAUAAGUCGGAAUAAAAAACAAAGAACAACGAACUGUGGAAUUUGCGAGGAUGACAAAUCUGAGGUUGCGGCCCGUCCCAAUUAUUCCUUGCUCAGUCAAUUCACGGCUGGACGAUCGCUCAUCCGAGUAGUGAUUUUACUGAGGCUGCGAGAGUACCGAAGCCGUGUAAAAACCGACUUUUCUAUUUAUUUUCACAAGUCACUUCUGUGUUACAUUUGUACGCAGUAACCUGAAUCUUGUGACGGGAAAUAUUGUGGCCCCGCCAGUAACAUUUCAUGAUAACUUUCUAUUAACGGAAAAACACUUGAAAACUGCACGUGCCUUCUGGAGUACGUGAAAAACUCAUUACUCAAGUAAAAAUAUAAUCCGAGUGAGAAGCCAAGAUUCCGAAGUCGAACAAGGCAGUGGAAAAGAAACAAAUUUUUGUUCGUCGAAGAAAAAAAUAUGGCGGAUUCGAAUGUACUUUUAUUGUGGACGAACCGAGUAACUUGCAAUAGAAAAAAUACGUUCUCGAAUCCCACCGUACUUUUAUCCAACUGAAUGGAUUUUGUUGGAUGAAAAAAAUGAAUUAUUCUCGUAUCGCCGUGAUUUUUUGUCUGUCGGCUGUGUUUGUGACAAUGUGAUUGGGGAUCGAAACAGGAGUGUGUUUAGUUUGCAACAGCCGGAACGAAGGCAGGUCGGAUUAUAUCGCGUUAAUAACAUCCCCCACGUGGCUUCUCUUCUGUCUCCCUCUUUCUCUUUUCCGCGAAUGAAAGGGCACAGCGGGAGCGAGUGUGUACGUAUACCAGGGGCAAAGAGAGACGAGAAGAAAAAGGAUGAGGCAGGCGGCAGCCCACGUUUGCAUCGAUCGACCUAUAUCGUCCGAAGCUUCAGCUCGAAAUACGGCUCUCAACUGGCGAACGUUGUCCUGCAAUCCGUUUUUUCUGCUUUCGGAUUUCUCGUGUUGGCUCAUCGGCCCAUUUUUUUCGUUUUUUCAGCGCUCUAUUUCAGCUUCGAGACGUUAAAGUAUUGAAAAAGGGAUGGAGGCUCUGCUCAGGAUUUUUUUUAACGCGGUGUCAGCCAUUUAUUUUUCCAUCGGCGCUGCUGAGACCCCGAAAAAAGGCACUUUUCUCUUGAGCCUCGUCGCGCGACAUAUUUUAACGAACUUUUAGACAGAGCGCAAGUGGAACGUGAUAUUUUCGAAUGGAAGCACACGGCGGUCCACCGAGUCAAGCCCGUGACCUAUCUCUCACAUAUCGACCAAUUUUCGUUUCUAUUUCUGGUUCGAGAGGUCACCGUCGCUGCUCAUUUCGUUCAUCAUUAAUACGCACCAGUCUCCACCACCUCUUUCAUUCCUAAUAGGCUACUUCUAAUAUGCCACUACGCUUGCUGCGUUCAAAGGCUCCGAGAACGUGCAAGGAUUCGAUCAAUCGUUCCGGUCCGCGUGAGAAUUCGAUCGAUUUAUCAAAUCAUAGAACAUUCGACAAAAAACAAAUUACUAAACUGGACGCUGAAUUAAAAUGGCAGUGGAGUACCGGAAUUCCGAUGAAAAGCUUCGUCAAUCGCACCGUUGAGAAAGCCUCGAAUCCCGCGAUUGGUCACGACUCGAUCCAAUCGAACGACGAAAGUGUCAAUUUUCGAUUACAUUUUCAAACAAAAACCCGGCCAUUUCUAGCCGAAAUAGCUGGACUUUCAUUUCAUCGUGUAAAUUGCUCAGCCCGAGUUGAUAAAAACGAGCUGCUAUCGGUCAAAACGAAUUUUUAUUCAACGUUCGCACGAUGAUAGUUACCGGAAGCGAUGAGGGAACGGAGAAUAGAGAGAGCGAGUGAUGGAGAUUGAAAAAACGUAGUUGGUCUUUUGAUAAGUUGGCUCAAUGGGCCUGAUCACGAGCCCAUGAAAAAGCUCUCGUUACAAUUUCACCACAACGCUCGUUCGCUCUUUGUCGUGCACGCUUCAACUGUGAAGCACGUUGGAUACGUUACGAAUGUUAGUCAAAAAGGUAUCUAAGUGAUAAUGUGUGUAUGUGUGUUUGAUCAUCAACAACGUACCGGGUGAACGGAAAAAAAAUGAAUUUCCAUGACGGGUCCACCGGAAGUCCAGGAACGAGUGUGUCAUGCCGGCAGGAAGAUUACGUCGGCCGUUGACCGUCUCACGUUCUGAAGAAUCAAAGAGGAAAGCAAAGGCAAUCACGAGGUGCGCACAUGGGCUGUCUUUUCAGGACGGAUUUAUUAAAAUAAGAGGAUUUUAUUGUGACUAUGCGAAUGAGCGAUUGGAAAUCGGCAUUUUUUUAAAUGGAUUUGAAAAACAUAGUGGAAUUUCGAUUCAAAAAAAGCCAAAAGCUUGUGUCAAAUGAGAAAAGUGAACGUGCAGAUUUAUCGACGUGUUUUUACGAGUGCAGUGAUGAGUAAUUUAAAAUAACUUUCACAGCAAAAAAUGAGAAAAAUGAAAAAAAAAAAGAAAAAAAAACAAAUAAACUGAAGAAAAUCAAUGACAGUUGUGACGAAAUAUGCAGAAAAAAAAAUAUUCAGGAUGGAAAAUAAUGAAAAUGAAGGAUCGAAUCGUACUUCUGCGAAUAUUGCGAAUUUAUGAAUCUCGGGAGAGACGUGGGGCAAUUGUGGCGGUAGCGUGGUCUCACGAGGGGUAGGUCAGGAGUCGCGAUUAACGGAACCGAGGGGGAAAAAAAAGCGAGCGACGAACAACGAAUCACUGAGCGUGCAACGAAAGAAAAAUUGGGGAAAAAAUUUCAUUUCAAAGUUUUUUAUUAAACGAAAAAAAGACACAUUCGCACAUUGAAAACAAAGAAGCACAGCGAAGCUUUCGAAAAAAAAAAAAAAAAAAACGCGAUUAGAUUAUCCAUCAAUGCGACUCCAUUGCAACUGUCACUAAAUUCUUGAUUUCAUUCGCAUACCACGAUGAAUUUGCGGAAUGAGUGUGAUUCGAAAAAAUGAUUGAAACGCGUAUAAAAAUGAGAAAGGGCAAACAAGAACGCUCGUUUUUCUUGUAAAUCAACUAAUAAAACUAAGUAAUUACCAUCUCGAUCAGGAUUUUGAAAAAAAACAUAGAUAUUCAGAGACCAGCAGAGGAAAAAAACUGUCAAAACUGUAUCAAAGUUUGUAAACGUUCUUAACGACCCAGCGAACGUCAAAAUUCAUCGACUCGAGAAAGCGAAACGUCAAAAAUGCGAUCGAAAACGAAUUCAAAGUAACACCGAACAGCAAUAAAGCGGAUUUUAAAAAAUUCUCGAGACUUUGAGCACUCAGGUAUUGGCGGGCGGGAAAAGGAAUAGCUUUUUUGGAACAACGAAAAAAAAAACGUUAAUCCUAAGGAAUAGGGUGAAACGUCUAUUUGUCCGCGA